rnacentral:rRNA from 1 species
UGAGGAAUAUUGGUCAAUGGGUGCAAGCCUGAACCAGCCAUCCCGCGUGAAGGACGACUGCCCUAUGGGUUGUAAACUUCUUUUGUAUAGGGAUAAACCUACCCUCGUGAGGGUAGCUGAAGGUACUAUACGCAUAAGCACCGGCUAACUCCGUGCCAGCAGCCGCGGUAAUACGGAGGGUGCAAGCGUGAUCCGGAUUUAUUGGGUUUAAAGGGUCCGUAGGCGGACUUAUAAGUCAGUGGUGAAAGCCUGUCGCUUAACGAUAGAACUGCCAUUGAUACUGUAAGUCUUGAGUAUAUUUGAGGUAGCUGGAAUAAGUAGUGUAGCGGUGAAAUGCAUAGAUAUUACUUAGAACACCAAUUGCGAAGGCAGGUUACCAAUAUAUAACUGACGCUGAAGGACGAAAGCGUGG